UACGCCCGAUCUCGUCCGAUCUCGGAANCCAAGCAGGGUCGGGCCUGGUUAGUACUUGGAUGGGAGACCGCCUGGGAAUACCAGGUGCUGUAAGCUU
rnacentral:rRNA from 1 species